GGGGGGAACCUGAUGGGAGAGGUACCGCUUCAACGGGAAUAGAAGUUUCCUCAUUGGCCGUCUUUUUAGGCUUAUACCUUUGUUUACCUCAUCCUUGGACUGUCGGAGACGGUACAUUUACUUUAACUAUAUCGUCAGCACAGAGACCACGUUUGCUGUUAGCUAGCUGCUUCCCCCCCCCCCAGCUAAUCUGAAAAAGACGGGCGGCGUGGUGUCGACUUUUCUCACUUUCCGACACACUGCCGCUUAUUAUUUUUAAUAGUUGAUCAGAUCGGCCGUGGUUCAUUAAACGAACAGGGUUUUUCCACCGCCGAGUCCCUUUUUGUGUGCGUUUCCCACCGGGUUGUCCAUCGGUCCGCGCCGGCGUGGUCAGCGGGGUGAAGGAGUUCAGAGGAAGGUCGUCGGGGAAGCGAUCCCCCGGCAGCACGUUUCCCUGCACGUACUCCAACACCACCUCGGUGAUGUGGACACAUCGGCGGGUUCGCAUCUUGGAAAGGUGAGCUCCAGCGAGAAAAAACAGGACGGGACACUACAGCAAAUACGUGAGAUACACGAGAGACCUGUGGACUUAAAAAAAACAACAACAACUUAACAACAGUCAACGCUGGUUUCUAAUUUGGUGUUAUUACUAACUUACGACCCAAAACACUGGGCUUCGUUGAAGUGAGAUCGUGCUCCUUACUACAACUCACCGCUUUUGGACUUGGCGUUUUUACUGUUCGUUUGGAGAAAGUAGUUGACUGGAGCAGGGCAUACUUGCCAUGGAGUGAACCCGUGUCGAACGGCUCGCCGUCGGGUAUUCCUCGCAGAUCUCCUCGGUGAACUGGACCUGUUUUCCUGGAUCCUCCGGUACGCUGUGAUAAACAGAUGAAAGACAACUACAUUGUGCGCUUAUGGAACAUGAAGCUUUUUAUCCGCACUUGUUUCGCCAGAACCCAAGACCACGUUAUUUAAGUGGUCGGACUUUUGUAAGGGUCUCAUCAAACUCCCAUCGUUUUAAAUCAUAAUACAACCACGUUGGACCCCGGCCCCUUUAGGGGGGGGCAACACCAUCUUUUUUUGCCAGUGUAUUAAAACACAUUUGGUUUUUUGUACGUUUUGUUAUUAUAACAUACCUAUUAUAAAAGGACGUUUUUUCUUUAGUCGUCGAUUUUUUAUGAACUUAUGCAAGAGGAAAUCACCUGGAAAGGCAACAUGGGAUGCUGGACGUUUAAACCGCAAACACCAAGUGUGUUUAUUGUAGUGUGCAUCUGCAUUGCAUGCCAGGCUGGACUAUUGAAUGGCGAAAACGAUCCCCUCCUGUUCCUGUCUUCUCUCAGCUCCAAAGCCUGGCUACUAUUUCAGGAA
ensembl:lncRNA